GGCUAAGAAUAGGUAUUUUUGAGGACUGAAAAUCCUUGUGUCGGUGGUUCGAUUCCGCCCUUGGCCA
rnacentral:tRNA from 1 species